rnacentral:lncRNA from 1 species
CUGAACUUGAAAGAAGGCAGAGGAAAUGGAAGGCCUACAAAGAAAUUUCCUCGAGGAGCAAAAGGAAACCUCUCUUAUUUGACUGCUCACGGAAGGAGCCUGGAGAAGAACCUAGGUCCUCGUAGUCUGCUCUGUACAGCUGAGGACGGUACCCAGGAAGAGAAACCGUUUCCAACUUGUCCUGAGUCCAGACCUGCUUUCUAAGCAAGCCCUGCCUGGCAAGGAAGUGCACACUGGAAUCAUUUGUUUACUUUGUAAACAGGUCAACCUAUUUGUCUAAAGAGACCCCAGUGGAAUAUUAAACUACUGUUAAGACCUUAGUGGGAGUUCCUGGGAACAAAAACAAUUUGUCUAUUUUUUUCCAAUGGG